AUUGAACGCUGGCGGCAGGCUUAGCACAUGCAAGUCGAGCGGAGAGAGGUAGCUUGCUACCGAUCUUAGCGGCGGACGGGUGAGUAAUGCUUAGGAAUCUGCCUAUUAGUGGGGGACAACAUUUCGAAAGGAAUGCUAAUACCGCAUACGUCCUACGGGAGAAAGCAGGGGAUCUUCGGACCUUGCGCUAAUAGAUGAGCCUCAGUCGGAUUAGCUAGUUGGUGGGGUAAAGGCCUACCAAGGCGACGAUCUGUAGCGGGUCUGAGAGGAUGAUCCGCCACACUGGGACUGAGACACGGCCCAGACUCCUACGGGAGGCAGCAGUGGGGAAUAUUGGACAAUGGGCGCAAGCCUGAUCCAGCCAUGCCGCGUGUGUGAAGAAGGCCUUAUGGUUGUAAAGCACUUUAAGCGAGGAGGAGGCUACUUUAGUUAAUACCUAGAGAUAGUGGACGUUACUCGCAGAAUAAGCACCGGCUAACUCUGUGCCAGCCGCCGCAGUAAAAC
rnacentral:rRNA from 1 species